GGGUGGCCCCUGAGGCAUAGGAAGUUGCUGGGUUUCACAGGAAUUCCUCAGCAGAGCUGGGAAUUGAUCACAGAUCUGUAGAUUCCCAGGUGACUUUUGAUACAACCAGACAUUUUAGCGAAGGAGCUACAAGGAAGAGAAGCCUGGAAAGACUAAAGCUGCAAGAACAGGAGCACAUUCGAAAAAGGGGGGAAAAAAAGAGAGGGGGUUGAAAGAAAAAGACGUGGUGAUGAAAAGAAGUUCAAGAGAGAAAAAAGAAAGCUAAGCUCGAGAGGAGAGAAGAGAGGCAGAUAGAUGGAGAUGAGAAACAUCCCCCAAAGCAGCAGAAGGUACCAGCUGAAGAACAGCAG
rnacentral:lncRNA from 1 species